UGUUGUUCUCUUUACUCUUCUCCUUGCAGCCAACACGACAACCAUGACGUCGAGGCUUCGCAGCAUCCAAGUCAGAAUCACUUGACUCCAGAAACAGGCCUCUGAGACAUCUUCUUCUGACUGUAGGCUCUUGAGUAAGUUUUUGGGAGGGGGUCAUGUUGAAUUCAGCCUUUCGUGUCUCAAUGAGCUCUGGUUUUUGAGACAGCUUCUUUAAUUCUGUUGGACAAUGCGAGUGAAUCAGGUGGACACCAGGAUUUCCUUCCGUUAUGGAUGUGUUGAAUAAAAUUGAGUUGUUGAUACCCUGUGCAUUGCUGUUCACAUAUGCCUCUGAUGCUUGAUCUUCUUUGGCAUUUGAGUUGUCAGAUUGUCUGUUGAAACUCUCCUCUCCAUCAGUUGUUGCUUCGGUACUGUCAUCAGGUUUGAUCUUAUAGCCUCUGCGAAUGUGGAUUGACCCUUCUUUCUUUGAUGUGUCAAAGCCUACAUGCAUUGAUGCUCCCCUAUUUUCACCAGCAAGAGUGAUUACACUCACUGGCCUGUCAUCUAUGGAGUGCUUGGAAUCCCCAAUAGCCAUCUUAUUAACAAGCUUUGAAAUGUCGUCUCUGAUCUCUUUGUGCAGGGACCUAUGGUCUCCACUGGAGUUACUUUGUUUCUGUUGACUGUCAGCCAACAUGGUUUUGUUUCUUGGAUGGGCGGUUGGUAUUUUGUUUUCUUUGCCAUUAGAAGCAGAUGUUGCUGUCAUCUCCUUUCUGGCAAUAGUCUUCUGUGCUUGUUCUGACUGAAAUGGAAUGGUAGAUAGGUCUUUAGUCUGCACUGUCUGCCCCUGUUCCACCUUAAGGUCACUUCCUAUAUGCCUGGCUCUGUCAUGUGCCUUGUCUUUAAUGUCUUGCAUGACUUCCUUCACCUCUUUGGGUUCCUCUGGUUUCAUAUCUUUAGAGAAUGAUUCAGGUUCACCAUUGACAGUCGAAGAAGUUGAUUUCUGUGUUACAACAGGUGUUUCUGGACCUUUAGUAGUAGUGAACACGUCUGCUGCUAUUUUCCCUGAUUCUUUUAAAGGCCGCUGUGUCAUCUCAUUGGGUUGAACAAUGGUUUUAAUUGGGGCUCGAUCUUGAGAGUCAUGAAUGUUAUCUGCAGGGACUGCUGUCUUUGGCUGAAAUUCAAGAGGAAGUGAUUCGGAUACUGCUGAUUUUGGUUCUUGUUUAUCAGAGGGAGAAAAACCUUCAGUGGAACUGGCAGAAGAUUGAGAGUUCUUCUGAGUUGGGCUUUGCUCUGUUUUCAGUGGAGAAGCAAGCUGGGUGGCAGCUGCUGUUGUGGGUUGCCGUUGAGCAGUUGUGCUAGAUGGAGGAGGAGGUGGAGAUGUCUGGCCUGCCUGGAUAGGGGCUAAUGAAGGGGACCUGGGCUGUGUGGCUGUUUGGGGUGUUGAUGGGAGCUCGGUUGAUCUGCGAGAUGGAGAUGAGGGUAGAGAUACAGCUUCUUGUUGAGGGGCUGCAUGAGGUGGAGCCGAGGGCUGGGAAGGAGCUCGCGAUUGAGUGUCUACACGAGACAGAGACGCUGGCUGAGAAGGGACUCUGGGUUGAGUGAUGGCAGGAGAUGGUGAUGAAGGCUGCGAUUCAGUUCUGGAUGUCUGAGAUUGAAGAUGAGGGCCCUGUGCUGGGGCUACGGCUGGAGGCCUGUAUGGUGGCCUUUCAGGUGCCUGUGGAGUGGGUGUCUGGGUAGGUCUUGUAGUUAUCGUAGGCUGGGUAACUGUUGCUCUUUCAGCCGUUUGAGUAGUGGGAGCAGGGGUUGUAGUGGUGCUCGGCUGGGAAGGGAUUUGGGUUUCAGCUGUUUGAGGCAUUGCAGGGGGAGCGGUGGUAGAGAUGGAGGGCUGGGGAGGGGCUUCAGUUGUUGCAGCUGUUUGUGGCGUGGUUGGGGGAGGGGUGAUGGUGACGGAGGGCUGGGGAGGGGCUUCGGUUGUUGCAGCUGUUUGUGGCAUGGUUGGGGGAGGGGUGGCAGUGACGGAGGGCUGGGGAGGGGCUGGGGUUGCAGUUGUUUGUGGCAUUGUUUGGGACGGGGUCGUAGCAGGAGUAGGCUGGGCCGGUGGCCUGGGGGGAAAUGUUGGACGUGGGGGUGGUGCAGCUGGUAACCAGGGAAGACGAAAGCGGAAUGCUGGUCUUUGGUCUGCCAUAGAGGUUUAAAGGAGUGACCUAUGAAGUAAAUAACUGAAUUUUGAGCCCUAAGAGUUGGUUGCCUGGCAUAAGGAGCGAAAUGCAACAUAUAUAGCUUCUCAUAUGAUUCUUUGGAAAGUUUGUAAGUACAUUUGGUCUGCUUACUUGUCAUUGUUUCCUUCUUUGCCUGCCUUGUCUGAUUUCCUUAAACUGAUUUUCCUUGGCAGAUCAGCUAGCAUCUUUUUCAGUAGGCCAAUGAACUCACUCUUGGGAAUUCAUCACGGCAUGUCUUUACAACUUUGUGGUGAGAUCUUACACUGUUUUUUUGUUUUUCCUCUUCCUCUAGAGAGUAGAUUAGCAUAUUCUUCUCUCGUUCUUGGCCAAACCCAAACCCAACAGUUUGCGCCACAUACAUGUGAAACAUGUGGGGACUUUUUGUGUUGAUAGUAUGCCAAGGUUUAUUAAUACUUGAUUUAUUAAAAAGAAUAAAGAAAUUUUUUUUUUUUUUUUAAAAAAAAAAACUACACUUCAAGAAGGGGGUGCUACUCCAGCUCCAGAAGCAUUUAGGAAUUGCCUGGAUGGAGAAUCCUCUUCUUGUUCAUUUGUAAAAGGGAGUACUCAAGAAUCAACUUUCAUUAAACUCCCUCUGCCCCCAGAAUCAAUUCAGAGCACUAAGAAUCCACUGGUCUUGAGAAACAAGGCGCCUAGAUGGCAUGAGCAAUUGCAAUGCUGGUGCCUAAAUUUCAAAGGGCGUGUUACUGUGGCCUCUGUCAAGAACUUUCAGCUGGUGGCAGCCAUGAAUCCAUCUGAGAUUAUUCCAGUUGAAGAACAAGAUAAGGUGAUCCUACAAUUUGGAAAGAUUGGAAAGGAUAUCUUUACAAUGGACUAUCGAUACCCCCUCUCUGCCUUCCAGGCCUUCGCAAUCUGUUUAAGCAGCUUUGACACUAAACCAGCAUGCGAGUAGUUGUACCAUCUUGCUUUUUCCAAAGUUAGUUUUUGUGUGUAAAUAUACCAAAGGAAGCCUGUUUGAGCUUCGUCUUUAGAUAGGAUGAUUAUGUGUGAAAAUCCAAACAUUUAUGUUCAGUUUUCAAAUGUAUCUGAUCCUCAAAAGUGUAAGUUAUCGUGAUUUUAUUUCCCAGAAGUCUGUAAUGUUUUCAAAGUUAUUGGAGUCUUACAUUUUUAAUGUUGCAAGUAGGAUCUAACUUUAGAUAAGGAAAGAUUGGCUAGUAGCUUUAACUGAGUCCUUUUGGGAUUGGAGAUUUAUAUGUAAUUUUACUACCACAGAAUAUCCUUGUUUAUAAUGAAUUCAACAACAUAAUGCAGGUAAAACCAUAUCAUUCUGGAACCUAUGACAUCCUUACUACUAUUUACUUUUGUUCGAUUUAAAGAAUGUCUUCACAGAUACUAUGAGGAUUUUGUUGUGAAUAUGUGAUGUAUGCACAUUUAUUUCAUAUGUAUUAGCAUGCUAGUAUGGUGUUCAGGAUAUUGCUUGCUCAGUGAGCAUCAAUGUUGUUCUCUUUACUCUUCUCCUUGCAGCCAACACGACAACCAUGACGUCGAGGCUUCGCAGCAUCCAAGUCAGAAUCACUUGACUCCAGAAACAGGCCUCUGAGACAUCUUCUUCUGACUGUAGGCUCUUGAGUAAGUUUUUGGGAGGGGGUCAUGUUGAAUUCAGCCUUUCGUGUCUCAAUGAGCUCUGGUUUUUGAGACAGCUUCUUUAAUUCUGUUGGACAAUGCGAGUGAAUCAGGUGGACACCAGGAUUUCCUUCCGUUAUGGAUGUGUUGAAUAAAAUUGAGUUGUUGAUACCCUGUGCAUUGCUGUUCACAUAUGCCUCUGAUGCUUGAUCUUCUUUGGCAUUUGAGUUGUCAGAUUGUCUGUUGAAACUCUCCUCUCCAUCAGUUGUUGCUUCGGUACUGUCAUCAGGUUUGAUCUUAUAGCCUCUGCGAAUGUGGAUUGACCCUUCUUUCUUUGAUGUGUCAAAGCCUACAUGCAUUGAUGCUCCCCUAUUUUCACCAGCAAGAGUGAUUACACUCACUGGCCUGUCAUCUAUGGAGUGCUUGGAAUCCCCAAUAGCCAUCUUAUUAACAAGCUUUGAAAUGUCGUCUCUGAUCUCUUUGUGCAGGGACCUAUGGUCUCCACUGGAGUUACUUUGUUU
rnacentral:lncRNA from 1 species